rnacentral:rRNA from 1 species
GCAUAUCAAUAAGCGGAGGAAAAGAAAAUAACAAUGAUUUCCCUAGUAACGGCGAGUGAAGAGGAAAGAGCUCAAAGUUGGAACCUGUUUGGCCUAGCUAAACCGGAUUGUAGACUGUAGAAGUGUUUUCCAGGCAAGCCGAGUAAAUAAGUCCUUUGGAACAGGGCAUCAUAGAGGGUGAGAAUCCCGUCUUUGGCUUGAGCAUUUGCCUUUUGUGAUACGCUUUCAAAGAGUCAGGUUGUUUGGGAAUGCAGCCUAAAUUGGGUGGUAAAUCUCACCUAAAGCUAAAUAUUGGCGAGAAACCGAUAGCGAACAAGUACCGUGAGGGAAAGAUGAAAAGAACUUUGAAAAGAGAGUUAAACAGUAUGUGAAAUUGUUAAAAGGGAACCGUUUGGAGCCAGACUGGCUUGUCUGUAAUCAAUCUAGGCUUCGGCCUGGAUGCACUUGCAGGCUAUGCCUGCCAACGACAAUUUGACUUGAGGGAAAAAACUAGGGGAAAUGUGGCCCACUUGUGGGUGUUAUAGUCCCUUAGAAAAUACCUUGGGUUGGAUUGAGGAACGCAGCGAAUGCUUAUUGGCGAGUUUUCCAGGAAGGUUUUCUGAGGUACUACGGUAUCAAGGUUGAUCUUUUUGGUUAUACUUCUAUUCGCUUAGGUUGUUGGCUUAAUGACUCUAAAUGACCCGUCUUGAAACACGGACCAAGGAGUCCACCAUUAGUGCGAGUAUUUGGGUGCCAAACCCAUAUGCGUAAGGAAACUGAUUGAUACGAAUCCAUUAAGGAGGCAGUAUCGUCCGGCGCUGACGUUUUAUACUGAAUUGACCGAGACAAAGCACUAAUGAUGGGACCCGAAAGAUGGUGAACUAUGCCUGAAUAGGGUGAAGCCAGAGGAAACUCUGGUGGAGGCUCGUAGCGAUUCUGACGUGCAAAUCGAUCGUCAAAUUUGGGUAUAGGGGCGAAAGACUAA